rnacentral:rRNA from 1 species
UCCGAGGGGGGCGAGCGUUGUUCGGAAUUAUUGGGCGUAAAGGGUGCGUAGGCGGUUUGGUAAGUCUUGUGUGAAAUCUCCAGGCUCAACUUGGAGUCUGCACGAGAAACUGCCGGGCUUGAGUGUGGGAGAGGUGAGUGGAAUUCCUGGUGUAGCGGUGAAAUGCGUAGAGAUAUGGAGGAACACCAGUGGCGAAGGCAGCUCGCUGGGACGGUACUGACGCUGAGACGCGAAAGCGUGGGGAGCAAACGGG